rnacentral:rRNA from 1 species
AUUGAACGCUGGCGGCAUGCUUUACACAUGCAAGUCGAACGGCAGCGCGGGCUUCGGCCUGGCGGCGAGUGGCGAACGGGUGAGUAAUGCAUCGGAACGUGCCCAGUAGUGGGGAAUAGCCCGGCGAAAGCCGGAUUAAUACCGCAUACGACCUGAGGGUGAAAGCGGGGGACCGAAAGGCCUCGCGCUAUUGGAGCGGCCGAUGUCGGAUUAGCUAGUUGGUGGGGUAAAGGCUUACCAAGGCGACGAUCCGUAGCUGGUCUGAGAGGACGACCAGCCACACUGGGACUGAGACACGGCCCAGACUCCUACGGGAGGCAGCAGUGGGGAAUUUUGGACAAUGGGGGCAACCCUGAUCCAGCCAUGCCGCGUGCGUGAAGAAGGCCUUCGGGUUGUAAAGCGCUUUUGUUCGGGAGGAAAUGCUGUGGGCUAAUACCCCGGGGGGAUGACGGUACCGGAAGAAUAAGCACCGGCUAACUACGUG